rnacentral:lncRNA from 1 species
UUAGUACUCAGUCCUCUCUGAAGAAGGCAAUUUGAAGAAAGAACAGAAAGAAAUCUGGGACCAGAGGAUGCUUAAAAAGAAGCAAGUGCUCGAACAGAAACUUACCAAUUAAUUGGGAAAUGGUGCAUAGAAAAGAAAUGUUCUAUUGAUCAAUAGAACUUCAAGCUCCUUAGAAGAUGGGUCAACUGAUAUUCCAGGAUGACAGGCUUCUAUUCUCUUUCUGACACAUUUUCUACUCUACUCAAGGCCAUAGCAGAAAUGACACUGGACUUGGGAUCAGAAGACCUUGUCACUGGACUUCGAGUCAGGAGAACUUGGAACUGUCCUUGGAAUCAGAUGAUUUGGAUUGAAGUUCUGGCUAUGUUGCAUAUUAAUUGCAUGAUCUUACUUUUUCACCUUGGCCCUAGAUGCCAUUGUCUGCGAAACAAGGGAAAAAAAACUUUAUGAUCUAUCGUGGAUUUAAAAAAUAGAACUAUUAGGAUAAAAAAUAUAUGCAUAUGGCCAUUCACAGUUAGAAAACUGUGGGGUUUUCCUUAAUGGAUUUCCUGACCAGCAGGGUCCCACAAGGGAAGGGGCUCACCUUUGUGAUGGGACCCGAGGAGAGGUAGGAACCGAGAACCAGGGUGGAAAUGAAAGACACGGACAAAUCAGUGAUUGGAUAGGGCAGGCAAUCCCUAUGAUUUUCCUUAAGGCGGAAAAUGAGGAUAAUGGAAUACAAGGUGGUUGAGGAGAUUAAGAUAGAGAAUGCAGGCCGAGAUGGUUACAGCCUCGGGGAAGGAGAAGGUCAAGAAGAGAGAGACAUAGUCAUUGAGGAGCCCAGAGGAGCUCCAUGGAAGGGAGAAAGGCCAAGAGGAAGUUCAUGGGAUUGCCUCUGAAUUUAUUCAUGUCCUUCUUGGGCGGUACUCCCAAGGACAUAGUAACCACAUCACAAAGUAUAGACAAUCAAGA